rnacentral:rRNA from 1 species
AGAGUUUGAUCCUGGCUCAGAGCGAACGCUGGCGGUAUGCUUAACACAUGCAAGUCGCACGCCCGGCAACGGGAGUGGCGGACGGGUGAGUAACGCGUAGGAACAUAUCCAAGGGUGGGGGACAACCUCGGGAAACUGGGGCUAAUACCGCAUAUCUGCCGAGGCAGAAAGCAGUGAUGCGCCUUUGGAGUGGCCUGCGUCCGAUUAGCUCGUUGGUGGGGUAAAGGCCUACCAAGGCUACGAUCGGUAGCUGGUCUGAGAGGACGAUCAGCCACACUGGGACUGAGACACGGCCCAGACUCCUACGGGAGGCAGCAGUGGGGAAUAUUGGACAAUGGGCGCAAGCCUGAUCCAGCAAUGCCGCGUGGAUGAAGAAGGUCUUCGGAUUGUAAAGCCCUUUCGACGGGGACGAUGAUGACGGUACCCGUAGAAGAAGCCCCGGCUAACUUCGUGCCAGCAGCCGCGGUAAUUC